GAGAAGGUAGUAAGACCUGCUAACUCUUCAACCUGGUAAUAACCCCCAGCCUUCUCU
rnacentral:tRNA from 1 species